GAUGAAGAACGCAGCGAAAUGCGAUAAGUAAUGCGAAUUGCAGAAUUCCAGUGAGUCAUCGAAUCUUUGAACGCACAUUGCGCCCUUUGGUAUUCCGAAGGGCAUGCCUGUUCGAGCGUCAUUAUCACCCCUCAAGCCCUCGGCUUGGUGUUGGACGGUUUGGUGGAGGCCCCCUCGGGGGUUCCUGCCCCUCCCAAAGACAAUGACGGCGGCCUCGUUGGACCCCCGGUACACUGAGUUCUUCACGGGACACGUAUCGGACACAUGGGUUUACGGGACACGGUCUGCCUCCCCUCAGGGAGAAUCUUUCUAAGGUUGACCUCGGAUCAGGUAGGGAUACCCGCUGAACUUAAGCAUAUCAAUAAGCGGAGGU
rnacentral:misc_RNA from 1 species